CACGUAGGGCGCAAGCGUGUCCGGAAUUAUUGGGCGUAAAGAGCUCGUAGGCGGUCUGUUGCGUCCGCUGUGAAAACUCGGGGCUUAACCCCGAGCCUGCAGUGGAUACGGGCAGACUAGAGGUAGGUAGGGGAGAAUGGAAUUCCCGGUGUAGCGGUGAAAUGCGCAGAUAUCGGGAGGAACACCGGUGGCGAAGGCGGUUCUCUGGGCCUUACCUGACGCUGAGGAGCGAAAGCGUGGGGAGCGAACAGG
rnacentral:rRNA from 1 species